rnacentral:rRNA from 9 species
AAUCAAGUGCCUUAAGGGUGUUCGGUGGAUGCCUUGGCGCUGAGAGGCGAUGAAGGACGUGCUACGCUGCGAUAAGCCGUGGGGAGCUGCGAAGAAGCUUUGAUCCGCGGAUUUCCGAAUGGGGAAACCCACCUUCGAUAGCCGGAACUCCAAGACCUUGUGUGUUGGGGUUCGACCAGAAAUGUGAGAAAUCAAACCGCGAGGUUUUGGAUUUCCGGUUAUCAAGAGAAGGUAUGAGACUUCUGAAUACAUAGGAGGUUUCAAGCGAACCCAGGGAACUGAAACAUCUAAGUACCUGGAGGAAAGGACAUCAACAGAGACUCCGUUAGUAGUGGCGAGCGAACGCGGACCAGGCC